UCCGUAGGGGAACCUGCGGAGGGAUCAUUACACAAAUAUGAAGGCGGGCUGGAACCUCUCGGGGUGGCCAGCCUUGCUGAAUUAUUCACCCUUGUCUUUUGCGUACUUGUUGUUUCCUUGGUGGGUUCGCCCGCCACCAGGACAAACCCAUAAACCUUUUGUAGUUGCAAUCAGCGUCAGUAACAAAUUAAUAAUUUACAACUUUCAACAACGGAUCUCUUGGUUCUGGCAUCGAUGAAGAACGCAGCGAAAUGCGAUACGUAGUGUGAAUUGCAGAAUUCAGUGAAUCAUCGAAUCUUUGAACGCACAUUGCGCCCUUUGGUAUUCCAAAGGGCAUGCCUGUUCGAGCGUCAUUUGUACCCUCAAGCUUUGCUUGGUGUUGGGCGUCUUGUCUCAGCUUUGCUGGAGACUCGCCUUAAAGUAAUUGGCAGCCGGCCUACUGGUUUCGCAGCGCAGCACAAGUCGCACUCUCUAUCAGCAAAGGUCUAGCAUCCAUUAAGCCUUUUUUUCACGUUUGACCUCGGAUCAGGUAGGGAUACCCGCUGAACUUAUGCAUAUCAAUAAGCCGGAGGAA
rnacentral:rRNA from 1 species